rnacentral:rRNA from 1 species
UACGGAGGGGACUAGCGUUGUUCGGAAUUACUGGGCGUAAAGCGCACGUAGGCGGAUUGUAAGUCAGGGGUGAAAUCCCGGGGCUCAACCUCGGAACUGCCUUUGAUACUGCAAAUCUCGAGUCCGGAAGAGGUGAGUGGAAUUCCUAGUGUAGAGGUGAAAUUCGUAGAUAUUAGGAAGAACACCAGUGGCGAAGGCGGACUCACUGGUCCGGUACUGACGCUGAGGUGCGAAAGCGUGGGGAGCAAACAGG